rnacentral:rRNA from 1 species
ACGCCGCGUGAGUGAUGAAGGUUUUCGGAUCGUAAAGCUCUGUUGUUAGGGAAGAACAAGUGCGAGAGUAACUGCUCGCACCUUGACGGUACCUAACCAGAAAGCCACGGCUAACUACGUGCCAGCAGCCGCGGUAAUACGUAGGUGGCAAGCGUUGUCCGGAAUUAUUGGGCGUAAAGGGCUCGCAGGCGGUUUCUUAAGUCUGAUGUGAAAGCCCCCGGCUCAACCGGGGAGGGUCAUUGGAAACUGGGAAACUUGAGUGCAGAAGAGGAGAGUGGAAUUCCACGUGUAGCGGUGAAAUGCGUAGAGAUGUGGAGGAACACCAGUGGCGAAGGCGACUCUCUGGUCUGUAACUGACG